rnacentral:rRNA from 1 species
GAGUUUGAUCCUGGCUCAGGAUGAACGCUGGCGGCGUGCCUAAUACAUGCAAGUCGAGCGAACGGACGAGAAGCUUGCUUCUCUGAUGUUAGCGGCGGACGGGUGAGUAACACGUGGAUAACCUACCUAUAAGACUGGGAUAACUUCGGGAAACCGGAGCUAAUACCGGAUAAUAUUUUGAACCGCAUGGUUCAAAAGUGAAAGAUGGUCUUGCUGUCACUUAUAGAUGGAUCCGCGCUGCAUUAGCUAGUUGGUAAGGUAACGGCUUACCAAGGCAACGAUGCAUAGCCGACCUGAGAGGGUGAUCGGCCACACUGGAACUGAGACACGGUCCAGACUCCUACGGGAGGCAGCAGUAGGGAAUCUUCCGCAAUGGGCGAAAGCCUGACGGAGCAACGCCGCGUGAGUGAUGAAGGUCUUCGGAUCGUAAAACUCUGUUAUUAGGGAAGAACAUAUGUGUAAGUAACUGUGCACAUCUUGACGGUACCUAAUCAGAAAGCCACGGCUAACUACG